AUUGAACGCUGGCGGCAGGCCUAACACAUGCAAGUCGAGCGAGAGGCGGACGGGUGAGUAAUGUAUGGGGACUGCCCGAUAGAGGGGGAUAACUCCUGGAAACGGUAGCUAAUUCCGCAUAAUAUCGGAUAACCCAUAUGGGAUUGGCUAGUAGGUGAGGUAAUGGCUCACCUAGGCGACGAACCCUAGCUGGUCUGAGAGGAUGAUAAGCCGUACUGAGACUAUGACACUGCCUAGACUCCUACGGAGGCAGCAGUGGGAAAUAGUGCAUAAUGGGCACAAGCCUGAUGCAGCCAUGCCGCGUGUUUGAAGAAGACGCUGGGGGUGUAAAGUACGUUCAGUCGGGAAGCGUUGCCGACAGAAGAAGCACCGGCUAACUCCGUGCCAGCAGCCGCGGUAAUUC
rnacentral:rRNA from 1 species